GGAGAGGUGGCAGAGUGGUCGAAUGCGCCGGUCUUGAAAACCGGAGUGCCUUCACGGGUACCGUGGGUUCGAAUCCCACCCUCUCCG
rnacentral:tRNA from 2 species